GGCAUCAAACCGGGAGCAGACCUCCUCUCUGGAGGCGUUCCACAGCCUCUUGAACCACUACGCUCCGAAAAUGUAUGCCUUUUCUUAUGAGGGCCAGCUUUGCAGAGGACUGUUAGCAGUGAUGCAUUUCAAUGAAAAUAGUGGGCGGACUCAACAAAGUACCAGAUCAGGUGAACUCCAGUAUGCAGUGUCCCUGCCAAAGUGGAAGAAAGGGGGACACACAGUGAGGAAAGUUUUAGAAGAACCUACAUUUGACUAUGUCAAUGAGAUCAUCAAGGAUGUCCUGGACAGACUCGUACACCCCAGAGAAGAUGUGGAUGUCAGAGAUGUGCCUCCUCCAUUGAGUGGUGAAUACCAAAGACCAACCAAAGAAACUGCUGUCUCACAGUUCAAAUCCAGAUACAAGUCCACUUGAAUCAGUCUAAUGCAGGAUACAAAAAUCCAACAUACUGUCCAGUUGGUGCGGAAAAAGUUGACCGUAUUUUUUUCACAGCACAGGAUGGC